rnacentral:lncRNA from 1 species
ACAGAAAAGAUGAGAUGAUGGAGGAUGUUCUUCUGUAUACAUGUUUGUGUUAUUGGUUGGAGAAUAAAACACUGGCCAGUAGCUACCAGAUGAGGAGAAUUCUGGGGAGAGGACAAAGAGAGGAGCCACAGGGAAAGCCAUGUAGCUACAGUGAAGAUGGGAUUGCUGGGUGUUCUUUGAUUUUCCAGGCCUGUAGGCUGAAGAUGGAUGCUCCAAUGUGCAAAGGAACCUUGGAUGAUUAUCCAGUCAGCCAACUGUUUAUGUUAUUUCUACAGUUUUGGAAAUUGCUUGCUCUGCACUUCCUGUUUACUCAGAGUUAUUUCAAGUCCGGUCUAUUCUCAAGAGGCUCCUAG